UACGUAGGGUGCGAGCGUUGUUCGGAUUUACUGGGCGUAAAGGGCGCGUAGGCGGCUUAACAAGUCACUUGUGAAAUCUCCGGGCUUAACUCGGAACGGCCAAGUGAAACUGUCAAGCUAGAGUGCGGAAGGGCAAUCGGAAUUCUUGGUGUAGCGGUGAAAUGCGUAGAUAUCAAGAGGAACACCUGAGGUGAAGACGGGUUGCUGGGCCGACACUGACGCUGAUGCGCGAAAGCCAGGGGAGCAAACGGG
rnacentral:rRNA from 1 species